rnacentral:rRNA from 1 species
GAUGAACGCUGGCGGCGUGCCUAAUACAUGCAAGUCGAGCGAACAGACGAGGAGCUUGCUCCUCUGACGUUAGCGGCGGACGGGUGAGUAACACGUGGAUAACCUACCUAUAAGACUGGGAUAACUUCGGGAAACCGGAGCUAAUACCGGAUAAUAUAUUGAACCGCAUGGUUCAAUAGUGAAAGACGGUUUUGCUGUCACUUAUAGAUGGAUCCGCGCCGGAUUAGCUAGUUGGUAAGGUAACGGCUUACCAAGGCGACGAUGCGUAGCCGACCUGAGAGGGUGAUCGGCCACACUGGAACUGAGACACGGUCCAGACUCCUACGGGAGGCAGCAGUAGGGAAUCUUGCACAAUGGGCGGAAGCCUGACGGAGCCACGCCGCGUGAGUGAAGAAGGUCUUCGGAUCGUAAAACCCUGUUAUUGGGGAAGAACAAAUGUGUAAGUAACUAUGCACGUCUUGACGGUACCUAAUCAGAAAGCCACGGCUAACUACGUG